GCCGGGCACGGUAGCGCACGCCUGUAAUCCCAGCGGCUGGGAGGCUGAGACAGGAAGAUCAUGGAUUCAAAGCCAGCCUCACCAAUGGCAAGGUGCAAACUCAGUGAGACCCUGUCUCUA
rnacentral:sRNA from 1 species